AUUGAACGCUGGCGGCAUGCCUUACACAUGCAAGUCGAACGGCAGCGCGGGGCAACCUGGCGGCGAGUGGCGAACGGGUGAGUAAUAUAUCGGAACAUACCCUAGAGUGGGGGAUAACGUAGCGAAAGUUACGCUAAUACCGCAUACGCACUAAGGUGGAAAGUGGGGGAUUCGCAAGAACCUCAUGCUCAUGGAGUGGCCGAUAUCUGAUUAGCUAGUUGGUGAGGUAAAGGCUCACCAAGGCAACGAUCAGUAGCUGGUUUGAGAGAACGACCAGCCACACUGGAACUGAGACACGGUCCAGACUCCUACGGGAGGCAGCAGUGGGGAAUUUUGGGACAAUGGGGGCAACCCUGAUCCAGCAAUGCCGCGUGAGUGAAGAAGGCCUGGUGU
rnacentral:rRNA from 1 species